rnacentral:rRNA from 1 species
GACGAACGCUGGCGGCGUGCUUAACACAUGCAAGUCGAACGGUAAGGCCCUUCGGGGUACACGAGUGGCGAACGGGUGAGUAACACGCGGGUGAUCUGCCCUGCACUUCGGGAUAAGCCUGGGAAACUGGGUCUAAUACCGGAUAGGACCACUGCCUGCAUGGGUGGUGGUGGAAAGCUUUUGCGGUGUGGGAUGGGCCCGCGGCCUAGCAGCUUGUUGGUGGGGUGACGGCCUACCAAGGCGACGGCGGGUAGCCGGCCUGAGAGGGUGACCGGCCACACUGGGACUGAGAUACGGCCCAGACUCCUACGGGAGGCAGGAGUGGGGAAUAUUGCACAAUGGGCGCAAGCCUGAUGCAGCGACGCCGCGUGAGGGAUGACGGCCUUCGGGUUGUAAACCUCUUUCAGCACCGACGAAGCGCAAGUGACGGUAAGUGCAGAAGAAGGACCGGCCAACUACGUGCCAGCAGCCGCCGUAA